rnacentral:rRNA from 1 species
GACGAACGCUGGCGGCGUGCUUAACACAUGCCAGUCGAACGGAAAGGCCCUGCUUUUGUGGGGUGCUCGAGUGGCGAACGGGUGAGUAACACGUGAGUAACCUGCCCUUGACUUUGGGAUAACUUCAGGAAACUGGGGCUAAUACCGGAUAGGAGCUCCUGCUGCAUGGUGGGGGUUGGAAAGUUUCGGCGGUUGGGGAUGGACUCGCGGCUUAUCAGCUUGUUGGUGGGGUAGUGGCGUACCAAGGCUUUGAAGGGUAGCCGGCCUGAGAGGGUGAACGGCCACAUUGGGACUGAGAUAGGGCGCAGACUCCUACGGGACGCAGCAGUGGGGAAUCUUGCACAAUGGGCGGAAGCCUGAUGCAGCAACGCCGCGUGCGGGAUGACGGCCUUCGGGUUGUAAACCGCUUUCGCCUGUGACGAAGCGUGAGUGACGGUAAUGGGUAAAGAAGCACCGGCUAACUACGUG